AGGAAAGCAGGGGAUCGCAAGACCUUGCGCUCUUGGAGCGGCCGAUGUCUGAUUAGCUAGUUGGUGAGGUAAAGGCUUACCAAGGCGACGAUCAGUAGCUGGUCUGAGAGGACGACCAGCCACACUGGGACUGAGACACGGCCCAGACUCCUACGGGAGGCAGCAGUGGGGAAUUUUGGACAAUGGGGGAAACCCUGAUCCAGCCAUGCCGCGUGAGUGAAGAAGGCCUUCGGGUUGUAAAGCUCUUUCAGCCGGAACGAAACGGUCACGGCUAAUACCUGUGAUCACUGACGGUACCGGAAGAAGAAGCACCGGCUAACUACGUGCCAGCAGCCGCGGUAAUACGUAGGGUGCAAGCGUUAAUCGGAAUUACUGGGCGUAAAGCGUGCGCAGGCGGUUUUGUAAGUCAGAUGUGAAAUCCCCGGGCUUAACCUGGGAACUGCGUUUGAAACUACAAGGCU
rnacentral:rRNA from 1 species